UAAUCUAGCCCAUUUGUCCUCAAGAUGGAUCAACAUCACCAACCCCGCUUUCUCGGGAAGUGCGAUUUUCCAAAUUUACCAAACUGGUACUCUUGGAUCCUAUCUGCUUUUUCACGGUGCUGUCAAGGACAAAGUCUGUUCCAGGGCAUUCCUGCUCCACUUCUUGGCUGUGUCCCAGCCUGUGACUUGGCUUAAAUGGGGAGAAGAGACCCUCCUCCUCAGGAUACAAUAAACGAGCUCACGAAGUACACUCCGAGCAGUGCCAGGCACAAAGAGCUCAAUAUAAACCAGCCCUUAUCACAAUGAAGAGAGUAUAUUAGUGAAGACAUCAUGUCCUUCCUACUUUGUUUUAUUAGCUCCUCAGCUGGCAACGCUGUGCUGGUCCUCCAGUUUUUUGUACCGGCAUCUUACUGGUUUGUGAAAUCCCAGGGAGUGGACAUUAUGACCUAUGACUCAGAAGCAACUGUAGCCAAAACUCAAGCCCGUGCUGAGGGAACAGACCCAAAGGAUGGCCCCAAAGCGUGCUCUUCUGGCCUGCCUGGAGGGGGCUCAGCCAGUGGUUAAUGUUAUGUGAGUUUUCCCUAGGCUAAAAAGAAAAACAAAAACAAAAACAACUGCACAGUGCACCAGGGAUCCCGUAUAUGCAUGGUAAGCCCUGCGGUGAGCAUCUGCGGUAUGGACUCUGGGGCCCUCCGAGUGUGUUUGACCUUUCACCUAGAAAACGCUCACCCAGGGUAGAGAUUUUUAUCCUUCUUUGUCCUUUGUGAGAGCCGACCGCGGCGGAGGCCUGCUGGAGGCACACAGGGUGUUUCAAAAAGCCUCCCCUCCCCGAUCCCAGGAAGAAACCCUUUGUGCGCUGCAGCCUUGAUCUCGGCGAGGGGUGGGCUUUGUUGAAGCUGCGCUCUCACGUCGCUCGCCGCGCUCGCCCGGAGGUCCCCCGGCGAGCUACCGCCCUCCCGGCGCACCUCGAGGGCAGGGGUCGCGGUUCCCUCCCCCAAACUCCCCGGAGUGCCGGGCGCCGAGCUCUGAAAGGCCCGCGACGCACGCAUAGUCGCGCCCCUGGGCUCGCGGCGGGCUGCCCCGGCCGGCCGGGGACUCGCGCACACGCGGCGUCCCCCAACCUCCGCAUGCGGCGGCGCGCGGCCUGCUGGGAAACGUAGUUCCGGGGGCGCCAGGCUCCCGAGGAGCAGCCCCGCCCGGGCUUGUUUAUCUCUCCAGCCGGGGCGAGGCGGGCAAGGCGGCGACGCGGCGGCCGCGGAGCGCGCCCGGAGCCCUGCUGCCGUGACCUCCUCGAGAGGGCGGAGGUGAACCAAUGUCACCCGCCCGACCGAGCGCCCCGGCCACUCACCAGGGUGAGGGCGGCCCGAGUGGGCUGCAGCUUCCUCUUGCUCACAGCCCGGACAGUGGCCCGGACUAACGAAGCCGACAUCCUCGCCGUCCCGGCGCCCGGGUGCCUUGCGCCGGAACUCGGCCACCUCAGCCUCUCUCCAUGGACACAGCGGCCGCAUUGACGCCACAAGCUCCUGCGCACGGCGCCCCAGGCCCCGCCCCGCGCGAGCCCGCCCCCGCCGCCGCCAUUGGGCGGGCCGUGUGAGUGACGGACAGAGGGCGGGGCGCGGAGCUCCGGCCAUGGGCACGUGACUUGAUAGGCGCAAAGGGCCCGGGGGCAAGGUUGUCUUUGCAAGGACGGCCUCCGCGCUACGUGGGGAGUGGGGCUGGGGCGCGCAGAACGCCUGCACUUGUGGACUCUGGAGGCGUGUCGCUCCACGACCUGCCCCUGGGAAAGAUGCGGCGUCACUCCUUAAGAACGCUGAGCUACGAGCGCUGGUGCUCUCCAAAGCAGAAGGGUUCCGAGGCGCAGGUACACACGUUGGUCUUCCUUUUGGUUCAGCUAGGCAGUUCUUAAGAGCAUGGACUUACCGCAGAAUCGCGAAAUAACCCAAAUACUCACCAGGCUACCUCCUCACCGCGGGCUGUACUGCACCGGAUGUUGGAAGAUGGUGCUAAUGCAAGUUUCGCUUUUAGGUGCUGACUUUGGAACGCCGACCAACCCGAAGAUGUGAUUGGACAGAUCUGUCAACAUUCAUAGUGAGAACCAUUCCGUAAGAUUGAACGCCUGUUUGUCAGACCUUGUAGUGGCUGCUCAGGGCCUCCUGCCUUUUAAUUCUCCAAGUACACCUAUGCUUUAGGCAUUAUACCAGGCAUGCACUCACAGGAAGCCUGGUCAAUGGAGGGUCCAGGAAAGAAUGAGAGAUCCUGGAGAACAGAAGUGCUGCAGAGUUAGCAGUAGGGGGGAGGAGGAGAACGUAAAGGAUGGGUGGCUUUUCUCGUGGAAGUGCUAGAGGUAGAGGGGAAAAGUAGUAUCUGUGGAAUGGUGAUGGCAAGGAAAGACUCUUGCUCAGUGUUUUGAUGUGAAAAGAACUAAUCAGUGUGUUUUAGAGCCCAAUUUAUCUUUAAUCCCCUAGAGCCUAUAGGUUUGGAUGGUUCAGAAUUCCCUUAGGUAGUUCUAUCUCCCUGCUACUGAAAUAGAACUGCAUGACAGCAAGAGAAUGGUUAUCUUUGCCUCUAAGCCCUCUAAGCACAAAAGAAGCAGUGAGUUUAGGCGAUGGUAGUAUGGUGGGUUUGUAUCUUGGCUUCCUCUCCCUAGAUCGGUGAUUUGGGACGGCGUAUUUUACUUCUUGUGCCCUUCCUCUUACUGAUGCUAUGAAGACUAAAUGGAAAGCCCUUAGAAGAUUGUAUGGCACCUAAGUACUAGAAACUCAAUAAAGGUUGCUAGUUAUUCAUGGA